rnacentral:rRNA from 1 species
GAUGAACGCUGGCGGCGUGCUUAACACAUGCAAGUCGAACGAAGCACUUUAUUUGAUUUCCUUCGGGACUGAUUAUUUUGUGACUGAGUGGCGGACGGGUGAGUAACGCGUGGGUAACCUGCCUUGUACAGGGGGAUAACAGUUGGAAACGGCUGCUAAUACCGCAUAAGCGCACGGCAUCGCAUGAUGCAGUGUGAAAAACUCCGGUGGUAUAAGAUGGACCCGCGUUGGAUUAGCUAGUUGGUGAGGUAACGGCCCACCAAGGCGACGAUCCAUAGCCGACAUGAGAGGGGGACCGGCCACAUUGGGACUGAGACACAGCCCAAACUGCUACGGGAGGCAGCAGUGGGGAAUAUUGCACAAUGGGCGAAAGCCUGAUGCAGCGACGCCGGGUGAGCGAAGAAGUAGUUCGGUAUGUAAAGCUCUAUCAGCAGGGAAGAUAAUGACGGUACCUGACUAAGAAGCACCGGCUAAAUACGUG